GACGUAGGGCGCGAGCGUUGUCCGGAUUAUUGGGCGUAAAGAGCUCGUAGGCGGCUUGUCGCGUCGUUCGUGAAAACCUGCAGCUCAACUGCAGGCUUGCGGUCGAUACGGGCAGGCUAGAGUUCGGUAGGGGAGACUGGAAUUCCUGGUGUAGCGGUGAAAUGCGCAGAUAUCAGGAGGAACACCGGGUGGCGAAGGCGGGGUCUCUGGGC
rnacentral:rRNA from 1 species